rnacentral:rRNA from 1 species
ACUCCUGACUGACCGAUAGUGAACCAGUACCGUGAGGGAAAGGCGAAAAGAACCCCGGCGAGGGGAGUGAAAAAGAACCUGAAACCGUGUACGUACAAGCAGUGGGAGCACAGAGCAAUCUGUGUGACUGCGUACCUUUUGUAUAAUGGGUCAGCGACUUAUAUUCUGUAGCAAGGUUAACCGAAUAGGGGAGCCGAAGGGAAACCGAGUCUUAACUGGGCGUUAAGUUGCAGGGUAUAGACCCGAAACCCGGUGAUCUAGCCAUGGGCAGGUUGAAGGUUGGGUAACACUAACUGGAGGACCGAACCGACUAAUGUUGAAAAAUUAGCGGAUGACUUGUGGCUGGGGGUGAAAGGCCAAUCAAACCGGGAGAUAGCUGGUUCUCCCCGAAAGCUAUUUAGGUAGCGCCUCGUGAAUUCAUCUCCGGGGGUAGAGCACUGUUUCGGCAAGGGGGUCAUCCCGACUUACCAACCCGAUGCAAACUGCGAAUACCGGAGAAUGUUAUCACGGGAGACACACGGCGGGUGCUAACGUCCGUCGUGAAGAGGGAAACAACCCAGACCGCCAGCUAAGGUCCCAAAGUCAUGGUUAAGUGGGAAACGAUGUGGGAAGGCCCAGACAGCCAGGAUGUUGGCUUAGAAGCAGCCAUCAUUUAAAGAAAGCGUAAUAGCUCACUGGUCGAGUCGGCCUGCGCGGAAGAUGUAACGGGGCUAAACCAUGCACCGAAGCUGCGGCAGCGACGCUUAUGCGUUGUUGGGUA